rnacentral:rRNA from 1 species
UGGAUGAUGUGAUUAAUCGAUGCAACGCGAAAACCUUACCGUACCUUGACAUGUCCGGAAUCCGAAGAGAUUUGGGAGUGCUCGCAAGAGAGCCGGAACACAGGUGCUGCAUGGCUGUCGUCAGCUCGUGUCGUGAGAUGUUGGGUUAAGUCCCGCAACGAGCGCAACCCUUGUCAUUAGUUGCCAUCAUUUGGUUGGGCACUCUAAUGAGACUGCCGGUGACAAACCGGAGGAAGGUGGGGAUGACGUCAAGUCCUCAUGGCCCUUAUGGGUAGGGCUUCACACGUCAUACAAUGGUCGGUACAGAGGGUUGCCAACCCGCGAGGGGGAGCUAAUCCCACAAAGCCGAUCGUAGUCCGGAUCGCAGUCUGCAACUCGACUGCGUGAAGUCGGAAUCGCUAGUAAUCGUGGAUCAGCAUGUCACGGUGAAUACGUUCCCGGGUCUU